UGUUUUUGUAUCAAAUUAAAACUAGAGGUAAUGGCUUUAACAAUCAACUGUUCAUCUUCUUCAGUUUUUCUCCUUCCUCAACCUCCCCAUCUGAAUUCCUUCGAUUCUACAAAAACCGCUAAAUUACCUCUAUAAGUCUUGAUCAAAUUACAACUCAAUCGAUCUCUACCGAUUCUAUGACGAAUCGAGGAAAGAAGAUGGAGGAUCAUGGAGAAGUCGAAGCGUAUGCGCUUUAGGUUUAGCGAGUUUGAUUUUCGCAAUCGAAAUCAGCGACGUCUUCAUUGCUAGUGAAUCUCUUGCUCUGGAAUCGUCGCCGCAACUUGUGGAUUAUUAUUCACGGAGGCGUAUGAAGAAGAUACCGAGAUGGAGUGAUAAGAUUAGAAAAUGCGCUCCAUGGCGAGCGAAAUCGUUGGAGAUCAUCGUGCCGGAGAAUCUCCCGAGGCCGUCACAGCGUCGGAAGUGGGAAGCCAUUGCAUAUGAAUUCAUAGAUAUGAAGAAGAACGCUCCGGGAGUUCAAGUAAUUUCUUCUGAAAUUAGCUCUGAUUACUGUUUCUCCUUGUAAAUUUGUAUGGCUUUUAUUUUGUAAAUCGUUGUAUCAAUCAAUCACAUCAAUGGCUACAUUGUUAAUAUUGCUUUUGAUGUUCA